UACGUAGGUGACAAGCGUUGUCCGGAUUUACUGGGCGUAAAGAGCGCGCAGGCGGUCGAUCAAGUCGGAGUGUGAAAGCUCCCGGCUCAACUGGGGAGGGUCAUUCGAUAUUGAUCGACUCGAAGGCAGGAGAGGGUAGUGGAAUUCCCGGUGUAGUGGUGAAAUGCGUAGAUAUCGGGAGGAACACCAGUGGCGAAGGCGAUUACCUGGAAACACCUGACACUGAGGCACGAAAGCUAGGGAGCAAACAGG
rnacentral:rRNA from 1 species